AUUUGACUGGAUUUUAUGCACUGGAUUUGGGAUCUUUUUUACUGUGCUUGUGUUGCUGAUGCUUCUAUGAUGUGGAGCGGUGUAUCCGGAGCAGUGAGAGUUAGCGGAUAACUCCUUUCUCUGUCAAUGUGGAUUGUUUGGAAUUGCUCCUUUGGCUGCUGGGAUUGGAUGGCUGGAGUCUCUGCAACUUUUCUGGUCUAGACAACGUCUGCGGUCUCAUCAUGACGAUGGAGCGCUCUUUCAGUGAACUCUAUGCUCUGGGACAUUCACGCAUGCUAACAGCAACAUUCCAUCACUCUGGUCACUGCAACGCCGUGAGGUUGCCAUGGUGAUGCUAGGCUCCUCCCACCAGAAGUACAGAAAUCUUAUCUGCAGCAGUGUUCAAAACCCUCAAAACAUCUUUUCCAGCUGACUCAGAACUGUGCCACAUGUUUGCUGUUUCCCAUGUUUGUAAAUGUGUAUUUUAUUUAUUUUUGCUUAGUAAAUGUGUAUUUUAUUUA